rnacentral:rRNA from 1 species
GCAGUAGCCGCGGGAAUACAGAGGGUGCGAGCGUUAAUCGGAUUUACUGUGCGUAAAGCGUGCGUAGGCGGCUUUUUAAGUCGGAUGUGAAAUCCCUGAGCUUAACUUAGGAAUUGCAUUCGAUACUGGGAAGCUAGAGUAUGGGAGAGGAUGGUAGAAUUCCAGGUGUAGCGGUGAAAUGCGUAGAGAUCUGGAGGAAUACCGAUGGCGAAGGCAGCCAUCUGGCCUAAUACUGACGCUGAGGUACGAAAGCAUGGGGAGCAAACAGGAUUAGAUACCCGUGUAGUCCCUGUCUCUUAUAC